AUUGUUCAACGGCCGCGGUAUCCUAACCGUGCGAAGGUAGCGUAAUCACUUGUCCUUUAAAUGAGGACUAGUAUGAAUGGCCCCACGAAAGCUAUACUGUCUCCUUUUUCUAAUCAGUUAAACUAAUCUCCCCGUGAAGAAGCGAGGAUAAACAUAUAAGACGAGAAGACCCUAUGGAGCUUUAAAUAACUGAAACAUUUGCAUCCCACUUUAAAUUUCCGAAAUCUACACUUAAUUCCACAUCUUGUUUCUAGUUUUAGGUUGGGGCGACCACGGAGAAAAACCAAACCUCCAUGCCGAAAGAAACAUCUCUAAACAAAAAACUACAAUUUUAUGUAUUAACACAUUAACCUUAAUUGACCCAAUUUAUUGAUCAACAGACCAAGUUACCCUAGGGAUAACAGCGCAAUCCAUUUCAAGAGCUCUUAUCGACAAA
rnacentral:rRNA from 1 species